rnacentral:rRNA from 1 species
UCGGAAGUUGCUAGUAAUCGCAGAUCAGCAUGCUGCGGUGAAUACGUUCCCGGGCCUUGUACACACCGCCCGUCACACCAUGGGAGUCGGUAACACCCGAAGCCUGUAGUCUAACCGCAAGGAGGACGCAGUCGAAGGUGGGAUUGAUGACUGGGGUGAAGUCGUAACAAGGUACC